GAGUGAUCAGAAGUGAGAAUGUUGACAUGAGUAGCGACAAACAGGGUGAGAGACCCUGUCGCCGAAAGUCCAAGGGUUCCUGCUUAAAGCUAAUCUGAGCAGGGUAAGCCGGCCCCUAAGGCGAGGCCGAAAGGCGUAGUCGAUGGGAACCAGGUUAAUAUUCCUGGGCCAGGAGAUGGUGACGGAUCACAGAGCUAGUGAGGUCUUAUCGGAUUGAUCUUGCUGGUGAGUGGUUCCUGGAAAUAGCCCUCCAUGAGACCGUACCCUAAACCGACACAGGUGGACUGGUAGAGAAUACCAAGGCGCUUGAGAGAACCACAUUUAAGGAACUCGGCAAAAUACCUCCGUAAGUUCGCGAGAAGGAGGCCCCGUUUGUACGCAAGUAUGGGCGGGGGGCACAAACCAGGGGGUGGUGACUGUUUACUAAAAACACAGGGCUCUGCGAAGUCGCAAGACGACGUAUAGGGUCUGACGCCUGCCCGGUGCCGGAAGGUUAAAAGGAGAUGUGCAAGCAUUGAAUUGAAGCCCCGGUAAACGGCGGCCGUAACAAUAACGGUCCUAAGGUAGCGAAAUUCCUUGCCGGGUAAGUUCCGACCUGCACGAAUGGCGUAACGACUUCCCCGCUGUCUCAAAUGUGGACUCAGCGAAAUUGAAUUGUCUGUGAAGAUGCAGACUUCCCGCGGUUAGACGGAAAGACCCCAUGCACCUUUACUAUAGCUUCGCACUGGCAUCAGGAUUGUGAUGUGCAGGAUAGGUGGUAGGCAUUGAAACCGGGACGCCAGUUCCGGUGGAGCCAUCCUUGAGAUACCACCCUUCGCACUCUUGAUGUCUAACCGCGGCCCGUUAUCCGGGUCCGGGACCCUGCGUGGUGGGUAGUUUGACUGGGGCGGUCGCCUCCCAAAAAGUAACGGAGGCGCGCGAAGGUUGGCUCAGAGCGGUCGGAAAUCGCUCGUUGAGUGCAAUGGCAGAAGCCAGCCUGACUGCAAGACUGACAAGUCGAGCAGAGACGAAAGUCGGCCAUAGUGAUCCGGUGGUCCCGAGUGGAAGGGCCAUCGCUCAACGGAUAAAAGGUACGCUGGGGAUAACAGGCUGAUGAUGCCCAAGAGUCCAUAUCGACGGCAUCGUUUGGCACCUCGAUGUCGGCUCAUCUCAUCCUGGGGCUGGAGCAGGUCCCAAGGGUAUGGCUGUUCGCCAUUUAAAGAGGUACGUGAGCUGGGUUUAGAACGUCGUGAGACAGUUCGGUCCCUAUCUGCCGUGGGUGUAGGAUACUUGAGAGGAGUUGCCCCUAGUACGAGAGGACCGGGGUGAACGUUCCACUGGUGGACCAGCUGUCGUGCCAACGGCAGUGCUGGGUAGCUAUGAACGGACAGGAUAAACGCUGAAGGCAUCUAAGCGUGAAGCCCCCCUCAAAACAAGGUAUCCCUUGAGAGCCGUGGAAGACCACCACGUCGAUAGGCCGGAGAUGUAAGCGCAGCAAUGUGUUCAGUUGACCGGUACUAAUGGCUCC
rnacentral:rRNA from 1 species